UACGGGGGGAGCAAGCGUUGUUCGGAUUUACUGGGCGUAAAGGGCGCGUAGGCGGCCAGCACAAGUCAGUUGUGAAAUCUCCGAGCUUAACUCGGAAAGGUCAACUGAUACUGUGCGGCUAGAGUGCGGAAGGGGCAACUGGAAUUCUUGGUGUAGCGGUGAAAUGCGUAGAUAUCAAGAGGAACACCUGCGGCGAAGGCGGGUUGCUGGGCCGACACUGACGCUGGAUGCGCGAAAGCCAGGGGAGCGAACGGG
rnacentral:rRNA from 1 species